rnacentral:tRNA from 2 species
CGGGGUGUAGCGCAGCUUGGCUAGCGCGUUUGAUUUGGGAUCAAGAGGUCGCAGGUUCGAAUCCUGUCACCCCGA